rnacentral:rRNA from 1 species
GAUGAACGCUAGCUACAGGCUUAACACAUGCAAGUCGAGGGGAAACGACAUCGAAAGCUUGCUUUUGAUGGGCGUCGACCGGCGCACGGGUGAGUAACGCGUAUCCAACCUGCCCACCACUUGGGGAUAACCUUGCGAAAGUAAGACUAAUACCCAAUGAUAUCUCUAGAAGACAUCUGAAAGGGAUUAAAGAUUUAUCGGUGAUGGAUGGGGAUGCGUCUGAUUAGCUUGUUGGCGGGGUAACGGCCCACCAAGGCGACGAUCAGUAGGGGUUCUGAGAGGAAGGUCCCUCACAUUGGAACUGAGACACGGGCCAAACUCCGACGGGAGGCAGCAGUGUGGAAUAUUGGUAAAUGGGCGAGAGCUUGAACCAGCCAAGUAGCGUGCAGGAUGACGGCCCUAUGGGUUGUAAACUGCUUUUAUAAGGGAAUAAAGUGGGAGUCGUGACUCUUUUUGCAUGUACCUUAUGAAUAAGGACCGGCUAAUUCCGUGCCAGCCGCCGCUGUAA